rnacentral:rRNA from 1 species
CGAACGGGUGAGUAACGCGUGAGGAACCUGCCUCAAAGAGGGGGACAACAGUUGGAAACGACUGCUAAUACCGCAUAAGCCCACGGCUCGGCAUCGAGCAGAGGGAAAAGGAGUGAUCCGCUUUGAGAUGGCCCCGCGUCCGAUUAGCUAGUUGGUGAGGUAACGGCCCACCAAGGCGACGAUCGGUAGCCGGACUGAGAGGUUGAACGGCCACAUUGGGACUGAGACACGGCCCAG